rnacentral:lncRNA from 1 species
UAAGCUUGUUAAUCUAGCAUGCAAGAAAUAAUAUCAAGCAAAAACUAAAUAAUUAAAGCAAGCAAGGAAGAAACAAUAUCAACCCUGAACAUAAACUUUUCUCCAUACAAGAAACAAUAUCUCAUAUGAAAAGAAACAGCACCCAACAGUGUGAACAAUACUCACUGAAAAGAGUCCCUUACCUGCAAUAUAAAAAUAAAAAUAUUAGUACAUAUUAAUAUAAAUAAACAUAACUACAUCUUAACCACACAAAAUAAAUAAUACCAAUACAUAUUAAGAAAAAUAAAAUAAAAAUAAUCCAAAUUUUAGUAUGGAAGAAAUAAUAUCAACCAUAAACUAAAACAAAAACCAAAGGAAGUAUCGGUAGAAACAUGAAAUUCAACCAUAUCUAAUCCUUUAACUCCACUUGAGAAAUUCAUCUCAAAUGACAAGUUAACCUAUCUAAAUUAAAUGAGCAACCCUUCUUUUAAAAUAUAAACCUAACUGCCUUGUACCUUCAAAAUUAAGAUGUAAACCACCAUCUUUAUAAGCAAAUAACUCCAC